rnacentral:lncRNA from 1 species
UCGCGCCCGGACUUGAGCGCGUGUUGCCGGGCUGGGUCUGUGGUUGUGGAGGGGCGUGUGCGUGUGCGUGUGUGUUUCCUGCGGGGUCGGGGUGGGGUGGAGGCGGGGAGGCCCUCGCUCCUGGGCAUUUCCGCGGUUGCCCGCGGGCCUUCGCUGGGCUGCGAGGAGCGGCGCAGGUCGGACCGGGGCGCGGGCGGCCCCCGGCCCCUCGGAGGGGGAGCGGCGCGGAGGGGCGGGGCGGGGCGCGUGUGUAAAUGUUGCGCACUCGCUUUUCCCCCCACCCCCGCCGCCUUCCAGGGUGCUGGCGUGGGUCCCUCGCCGUCCGUCGGCGACUGUAAAUAGAGCCUGGAUGUUGUUUACAUGAAGGAUCCGGCGGGAGGAGUCUGCGAGGAGGAGGCGGAGGAGGAGGGAGGGAAGACAGAGGAAGAGCGGAGUCCCCGCGGCGGCUGCGUCCGGGGCGAGGGGGAGCCCCGCGCGGCGUCCGGGGACCCGGCGCUACCACGAGGCCGGGACGCUGGACCCUGGGAAGGGGGAAGGGACUUGGCGGAGAUCGCCUGCUCCCGGCCGCAGCUGAACCCACGGCUUCUCCCUGCCUUCCCGGGCCAAGGAAUCUUUUUCCCUCGCUCAGCUCCCCUCACGCCAGCUGCCACCUUCUUGGAGAAGGACCACACCUGUGCUUAUUCUCGCUCUGGAGGAGAGAACCAGCUGUCAAAUUCACUGGAUGGUAAUGAAGCAACUGAAGAAUCAGCUCAGGGAGAAGGUGAGGGGUGCAGCUGAGACCACCUCACUCCAUCCCACACCCCAGAGCUCCAAGACACCUCAGCUGGAGAGAGCUACAGAGCCUCAUGCUGAAUAUGAGUGUUAAGUUACCAAACCAAAGGCUUAGCUGCCCAGAUGAGGAGGCCGAGGGAAGAUGUUCUUACUAAAGAGGAAAGGGGAGGUUAUACUGAGCACAAAAGUAGAAGUCAUUGGAAAUGAUUUCACGUUUUAUUCUUCAACGGAAUUGCAGUUCACAAGUUCACAUGAUUUAUUAAAAGAAUAAAAGGACUAUGAAAUCACCUUUGACA